GACGAACGCUGGCGGCGUGCCUAAUACAUGCAAGUAGAACGCACAGUUUAUACCGUAGCUUGCUACACCAUAGACUGUGAGUUGCGAACGGGUGAGUAACGCGUAGGUAACCUGCCUGGUAGCGGGGGAUAACUAUUGGAAACGAUAGCUAAUACCGCAUAAUAUUGAUUAUUUCAUGAUAAUUGAUUGAAAGAUGCUAUUGCAUCACUACCAGAUGGACCUGCGUUGUAUUAGCUAGUAGGUGAGGUAACGGCUCACCUAGGCGACGAUACAUAGCCGACCUGAGAGGGUGAUCGGCCACACUGGGACUGAGACACGGCCCAGACUCCUACGGGAGGCAGCAGUAGGGAAUCUUCGGCAAUGGACGAAAGUCUGACCGAGCAACGCCGCGUGAGUGAAGAAGGUUUUCGGAUCGUAAAGCUCUGUUGUAAGAGAAGAACGGGUGUGAGAGUGGAAAGUUCACACUGUGACGGUAUCUUACCAGAAAGGGACGGCUAACUACGUG
rnacentral:rRNA from 1 species